rnacentral:snRNA from 1 species
AGCUGCGCAGUGGGCACAAAGCGAACUAUUCUUUCGCCUUUUACUAAAGAAUACCGUGUGCUCGCUGCAAAUAGCAGCAUACUCUAAUUUAUUGAGGGGAUUUCCAGCAUUUGGAAAC